rnacentral:rRNA from 1 species
AAAAGAAACUAACAAGGAUUCCCCUAGUAACUGCGAGUGAAGCGGGAAAAGCUCAAAUUUAAAAUCUGGUGGUCCUUGCGGCCAUCCGAGUUGUAAUCUGGAGAAGUGUUUUCCGCGCUGGACCGUGUACAAGUCUCCUGGAACGGAGCGUCAUAGAGGGUGAGAAUCCCGUCUUUGACACGGACUACCAGUGCUUAUGUGAUACGCUCUCAAAGAGUCGAGUUGUUUGGGAAUGCAGCUCAAAAUGGGUGGUAAAUUCCAUCUAAAGCUAAAUAUUGGCGAGAGACCGAUAGCGAACAAGUACCGUGAGGGAAAGAUGAAAAGAACUUUGGAAAGAGAGUUAAACAGUACGUGAAAUUGUUAAAAGGGAAACGCUUGAAGUCAGUCGCGUUGGCCAGGGAUCAACCUUGCAUUUAUGUUGGGCGCACUUUCUGGUCGAUGGGUCAACAUCAGUUUUGAUCGCUGGAUAAAAGCAUUGGGAAUGUGGCAUCUUCGGAUGUGUUAUAGCCCUUUGUUGCAUACAGUGGUUGGGACUGAGGAACUCAGCACGCCUUUAUGGUCGGGAUUUAUCCACGAAUGUGCUUAGGAUGUUGGCAUAAUGGCUUUAAUCGACCCGUCUUGAAACACGGACCAAGGAGUCUAACAUGCCCGCGAGUAUUUGGGUGUUAAACCCGAGUGCGUAAUGAAAGUGAAAGUUGAGAUCCCUGUCGUGGGGAGCAUCGACGCCCGGACCAGACGUUUUCUGACGGUUCCGCGGUAGAGCGUGUAUGUUGGGACCCGAAAGAUGGUGAACUAUGCCUGAAUAGGGUGAAGCCAGAGGAAACUCUGGUGGAGGCUCGUAGCGAUUCUGACGUGCAAAUCGAUCGUCGAG